UUUGUACUCCCUCCGUCCGAAAAUACUUGUCAUCAAAAUGGGUACCCUUUAUCCAUUUUGAUGACAAGUAUUUCCGGACGGAGGGAGUAACCA
rfam:Triticum aestivum genome assembly, contig: Triticum_aestivum_CS42_TGACv1_scaffold_050435_1BS